GUCAACAAGGCAUGCAAUCGGGACAAACUGUGACAAUUUAACCAUCCCGGUACAUUUAUCGCCAGCGAGUCAACACAAUGAAGUACUAGUAUCCCGUGACGGAUGUCUGGAGGAGCUUUCUGCUGACAGUAACACAAUGGUUACAAUGUGCAUCCUGUCAAAGGACGAGGAAGUGAAAAGCCAUAUUCAUUCAAUCAACAAAUGUGGUUCCUGUCACAUUUCUCUUAAAUAGGACGAGGAACUGAAAAGCCUUAUUCACUCACAAAUCAACAUGGCCAAUAUUU
rnacentral:lncRNA from 1 species